GAUGAACGCUGGCGGCGUGCUUAACACAUGCAAGUCGAACGGUGAACACGGAGCUUGCUCUGUGGGAUCAGUGGCGAACGGGUGAGUAACACGUGAGCAACCUGCCCCUGACUCUGGGAUAAGCGCUGGAAACGGCGUCUAAUACUGGAUACGAGUAGCGACCGCAUGGUCAGUUACUGGAAAGAUUUAUUGGUUGGGGAUGGGCUCGCGGCCUAUCAGCUUGUUGGUGAGGUAAUGGCUCACCAAGGCGUCGACGGGUAGCCGGCCUGAGAGGGUGACCGGCCACACUGGGACUGAGACACGGCCCAGACUCCUACGGGAGGCAGCAGUGGGGAAUAUUGCACAAUGGGCGCAAGCCUGAUGCAGCAACGCCGCGUGAGGGAUGACGGCCUUCGGGUUGUAAACCUCUUUUAGCAGGGAAGAAGCGAAAGUGACGGUACCUGCAGAAAAAGCGCCGGCUAACUACGUGCCAGCAGCCGCGGUAAUACGUAGGGCGCAAGCGUUAUCCGGAAUUAUUGGGGCGUAAAGAGCUCGUAGGC
rnacentral:rRNA from 1 species